CCUACGUGUGGCUGCAGUGGGGAAUAUUGGACAAUGGGGGAAACCCUGAUCCAGCGACGCCGCGUGAGUGAAGAAGUAUUUCGGUACGUAAAGCUCUAUCAGCAGGAAAGAAAAUGACGGUACCUGACUAAGAAGCCCCGGCUAACUACGUGCCAGCAGCCGCGGUAAUACGUAGGGGGCAAGCGUUAUCCGGAUUUACUGGGGUGAAAGGGAGCGUAGACGACAGCGCAAGUCUGGAGUGAAAUGCCGGGGCCCAACCCCGGAACUGCUCUGGAAACUGUGAAGCUGGAUUGCUGGAGAGGCAAGCGGAAUUCCUAGUGUAGCGGUGAAAUGCGUAGAUAUUAGGAAGAACACCAGUGGCGAAGGCGGCUUGCUGGACAGUAACUGACGUUGAGGCUCGAAAGCGUGGGGAGCAAACAGGAUUAGAUACCCGUGUAGUC
rnacentral:rRNA from 1 species